UGGGGAAUCUUGGACAAUGGGCGCAAGCCUGAUCCAGCCAUGCCGCGUGAGUGAAGAAGGUCUUCGGAUUGUAAAGCUCUUUUGCCAGGGACGAUAAUGACGGUACCUGGAGAAUAAGCCCCGGCAAACUUCGUGCCAGCAGCCGCGGUAAUACGAAGGGGGCUAGCGUUGUUCGGAAUUACUGGGCGUAAAGCGCACGUAGGCGGGUCGUUAAGUCAGGGGUGAAAUCCCGGAGCUCAACUCCGGAACUGCCUUUGAUACUGGCAAUCUUGAGGCUGGAAGAGGUUAGUGGAAUUCCCAGUGUAGAGGUGAAAUUCGUAGAUAUUGGGAAGAACACCAGUGGCGAAGGCGGCUAACUGGUCCAGAUCUGACGCUGAGGUGCGAAAGCGUGGGGAGCAAACA
rnacentral:rRNA from 1 species